UACGGGGGGAGCAAGCGUUGUUCGGAUUUACUGGGCGUAAAGGGCGCGGUAGGCGGUCGUGACAAGUCACUUGUGGAAAUCUCCGGGCUUAACUCGGAACGGUCAAGUCGAUACUGUCGGACUAGAGUACAGAAGGGGCAACUGGAAUUCUCGGUGUAGCGGUGAAAUGCGUAGAUAUCGAGAGGAACACCUGCGGCGAAGGCGGGUUGCUGGGCUGAUACUGACGCUGAGGCGCGAAGCCAGGGAGCAAACGGG
rnacentral:rRNA from 1 species